CAACAUAGUGUCCUAUAUCAGAUUGUAUAAAUCUUUCGCCUUUUACUAAAGAUUUCCUUGAACAGAAUGUAUCAUGAAAAUGUUUUGGGGCAGUUUUCAAAACAUCUUAAAAUUUAAAAGU